rnacentral:rRNA from 1 species
GACGAACGCUGGCGGCGUGCUUAACACAUGCAAGUCGAACGGAAAGGCCCUGCUUGCCGGGUACUCGAGUGGCGAACGGGUGAGUAACACGUGGGUGAUCUGCCCUGCACUUCGGGAUAAGCCUGGGAAACUGGGUCUAAUACCGGAUAGGAGCCAUUUUUAGUGUGAUGGUUGGAAAGUUUUUUCGGUGUAGGAUGAGCUCGCGGCCUAUCAGCUUGUUGGUGGGGUAAUGGCCUACCAAGGCGGCGACGGGUAGCCGGCCUGAGAGGGUGGACGGCCACAUUGGGACUGAGAUACGGCCCAGACACCUACGGGAGGCAGCAGUGGGGAAUAUUGCACAAUGGGCGCAAGCCUGAUGCAGCGACGCCGCGUGGGGGAUGACGGCCUUCGGGUUGUAAACUCCUUUCGCUAGGGACGAAGCUUUUUGUGACGGUACCUAGAUAAGAAGCACCGGCUAACUACGUG